UCGAACGAGAAAGUGGAGCAAUCCAUGAGUAAAGUGGCGACCGGGUGAGUAACACGUGACUAACCUACCCUCGAGUGGGGAAUAACUCCGGGAAACCGGGGCUAAUACCGCAUAACAUCGCAAGAUCAAAGCAGCAAUGCGCUUGAGGAGGGGGUCGCGGCUGAUUAGCUAGUUGGCGGGGUAACGGCCCACCAAGGCGAAGAUCGGUAUCCGGCCUGAGAGGGCGCACGGACACACUGGAACUGAAACACGGUCCAGACUCCUACGGGAGGCAGCAGUGGGGAAUUUUGCGCAAUGGGGGAAACCCUGACGCAGCAACGCCGCGUGGAGGAUGAAGCCCUUUGGGGCGUAAACUCCUUUCGACUCGGACGAUAAUGACGGUACGAGUGGAAGAAGCACCGGCUAACUCUGUGCCAGCAGCCGCGGUAAUACAGAGGGUGCGAGCGUUGUUCGGAAUUAUUGGGCGUAAAGGGCGCGUACGCGGUGCGGUAAGUCACCUGUGAAAUCUCCU
rnacentral:rRNA from 1 species